rnacentral:rRNA from 1 species
CUGGAGGUAUCAGAAGUGCGAAUGCUGACAUAAGUAACGAUAAAGCGGGUGAAAAGCCCGCUCGCCGGAAGACCAAGGGUUCCUGUCCAACGUUAAUCGGGGCAGGGUGAGUCGACCCCUAAGGCGAGGCCGAAAGGCGUAGUCGAUGGGAAACAGGUUAAUAUUCCUGUACUUGGUGUUACUGCGAAGGGGGGACGGAGAAGGCUAUGUUGGCCGGGCGACGGUUGUCCCGGUUUAAGCGUGUAGGCUGGUUUUCCAGGCAAAUCCGGAAAAU